GACGAACGCUGGCGGCGUGCCUAAUACAUGCAAGUUGAGCGCUGAAGGUUGGUACUUGUACCAACUGGAUGAGCAGCGAACGGGUGAGUAACGCGUGGGGAAUCUGCCUUUGAGCGGGGGACAACAUUUGGAAACGAAUGCUAAUACCGCAUAAAAACUUUAAACACAAGUUUUAAGUUUGAAAGAUGCAAUUGCAUCACUCAAAGAUGAUCCCGCGUUGUAUUAGCUAGUUGGUGAGGUAAAGGCUCACCAAGGCGAUGAUACAUAGCCGACCUGAGAGGGUGAUCGGCCACAUUGGGACUGAGAAACGGCCCAAACUCCUACGGGAGGCAGCAGUAGGGAAUCUUCGGCAAUGGACGAAAGUCUGACCGAGCAACGCCGCGUGAGUGAAGAAGGGUUUCGGAUCGUAAAACUCUGUUGGUAGAGAAGAACGUUGGUGAGAGUGGAAAGCUCAUCAAGUGACGGUAACUACCCAGAAAGGGACGGCUAACUACGUG
rnacentral:rRNA from 1 species